UAAGAUGGGGGAAAACAAGAACGUUCCCGAAGUUCCUGUUGUAGAACAGAAGGUUCUUGAUACGACAAGCAAUGAACCAUAGGUUCCUCAUGGGUCAAAUAUGUCAAAUAUUGCACAAGUUACCAAAAACUAUCAUGAAUAUCAAACGAUAAUGGCUGUGCUUAGGAAGCGAAUCAAUGAUACUGGAAAAAAUUGGCGCCACGUGUACGAAGUUUGCACAUCUCCUAUGCUCUUUCUGAUUUUCGUAGAGCUUUCUAUCUGAGAUUCUAUGGCGAGUUAUAUGUGUGAUUAUGCAUCUAGAUCUUCUCGAAUUUCAUAUUUGACAUCUUGUAGGAUUUUAAGAAAC